rnacentral:rRNA from 1 species
GACGUAGGGCGCGAGCGUUGUCCGGAUUUAUUGGGCGUAAAGAGCUCGUAGGCGGCUUGUCGCGUCGAAUGUGAAAACUCGGGGCUCAACUCCGAGCUUGCAUUCGAUACGGGCAGGCUAGAGUUCGGUAGGGGAGACUGGAAUUCCUGGUGUAGCGGUGAAAUGCGUAGAGAUCGGGAGGAACAUCAGUUGCGAAGGCGGCUCUCUGGACCAGCACUGACACUGAGGCACGAAAGCGUGGGGAGCAACAGG